CACCAAUUAACUCCCCAACACUCGUAAUCAGGGGACCUGUAAGAUACCACACAAAUUAAAUUAAACCAGCCCCAACCAUAUGCCAAUACGUGUCCUCUUCAAAGCCUCCUUUCACUGAGUCGCCACGGAAACAGGAAGCGGAGGAAUUAAUCGAUAAACAGCCACCAUGACCAUGCAAGACAACAAAAAUCAUCUUCAAACGAGGCCUCGGGGAUUUUAAAGUUAAAGCACCAGAUCGCUGCCGGCUAACGGACUGAGUGGCAGAUUUUUUAACGCAAACAGAGUUUGGCUUCGGGCUUCAGAAAGUCUGGAAUGAAGCAAAGAAGUAAAUUAGUGACAUAAAACCAAGAGAGGAAUCACGCGGCUCCUAAUUGCUUCAGUUUGUUGUUGAUGACAGUCCGGAGUCACAGGUCAGUGCAGACGAUGUACCUGACAAACGGCCGACGUCCACCUGUCUCCAGGAGCAACAGUUCAGCCAAUCAGCCGCCGGUAACCUGCAGCCAGAGACAGAGUCGGUCUGGACUUCUGUCACCGUGACUUUCACACUCAAGUUAAGCCCUCCAGAGGACGAGCUGGGCGGCCAAUCAGACGCCGGAGUUCCACGUUACCCAGAAUGCCCAGGGGGAGCAAUUGUCGCCGUGGAGACCAGCGGGGAUGGAAAAGCCCACGACCGGAAAAAACAAGUGAUUGUAUCGGAGGCGAUGAGGCGUUCAGUUUUGCUUCACGUCUCGGUUCACAUGUCCGUUUCUUCCUGCAGACUGAAUGUAUGAAACAAACAGAACAG
ensembl:lncRNA